UGGGGAAUAUUGGACAAUGGGCGAAAGCCUGAUCCAGCCAUGCCGCGUGUGUGAAGAAGGUCUUCGGAUUGUAAAGCACUUUAAGUUGGGAGGAAGGGCAUUAACCUAAUACGUUAGUGUUUUGACGUUACCGACAGAAUAAGCACCGGCUAACUCUGUGCCAGCAGCCGCGGUAAUACAGAGGGUGCAAGCGUUAAUCGGAAUUACUGGGCGUAAAGCGCGCGUAGGUGGUUUGUUAAGUUGGAUGUGAAAUCCCCGGGCUCAACCUGGGAACUGCAUUCAAAACUGACUGACUAGAGUAUGGUAGAGGGUGGUGGAAUUUCCUGUGUAGCGGUGAAAUGCGUAGAUAUAGGAAGGAACACCAGUGGCGAAGUCGACCACCUGGACUAAUACUGACACUGAGGUGCGAAAGCGUGGGGAGCAAACA
rnacentral:rRNA from 1 species